rnacentral:rRNA from 1 species
AGUGAACGCUGGCGGUAGGCCUAACACAUGCAAGUCGAACGGCAGCACAGUAAGAGCUUGCUCUUACGGGUGGCGAGUGGCGGACGGGUGAGGAAUACAUCGGAAUCUACUUUUUCGUGGGGGAUAACGUAGGGAAACUGACGCUAAUACCGCAUACGACCUACGGGUGAAAGCAGGGGAUCUUCGGACCUUGCGCGACUGAAUGAGCCGAUGUCGGAUUAGCUAGUUGGCGGGGUAAAGGCCCACCAAGGCGACGAUCCGUAGCUGGUCUGAGAGGAUGAUCAGCCACACUGGAACUGAGACACGGUCCAGACUCCUACGGGAGGCAGCAGUGGGGAAUAUUGGACAAUGGGCGCAAGCCUGAUCCAGCCAUACCGCGUGGGUGAAGAAGGCCUUCGGGUUGUAAAGCCCUUUUGUUGGGAAAGAAAAGCAGCAGGUUAAUACCCCGCUGUUCUGACGGUACCCAAAGAAUAAGCACCGGCUAACUUCGUG